GCUUCCGCCGGAAAUGUUUUCCCCAGUCUGUGGCUGCGCGCGGUCUCUUGUGGUCUCUUCGUUCUCGGGGCGCCUUCCGUUUGUUCUUUGUUGGCUCUUGUAGGGAGAGCCAGGCAGGCGGUGAACGCGAGCGGGGUUGGAGGGAGAGGAGGAGGUCAGGGGCUGGAAGCUGGGGUCGAGCGGGGGUGGCCUGGCCUCUGUCUCGGUGUUUGCUGGGAGGGAGGGAGACAGUCGGGCGCCCUCCCAGGGACACUGCGCCAUUCCCUUGUGGCUCGUGGCGACCCUAUACCCCAUACACCUAUGAUGGGCCCAUCCGCUCUUCUAGAAUCAGAGCUCCAACCCAGCCUUAUUCUACCGGUGGAAAAACAGGCCCAGCAGACAUUGACUUGACCAAGGUCAUGGAGGGAGUAAAUAGCAGAACUGGGAUUUGAACCCAUGUUCUCCCACUCAAAAUCCGGUGGUAACACCGUACGGCAUAGACGGAGAUCUACUGUUGGCUAGGCACUCUGCUAAAUGCUGGGGAUACAAAAGCCAGAACUGCCUGCCCUCAUGGAGCUCACGUUCUAAUAACACGUAAUGAGCUGUGUGCAUACAACAUACAGACCGAGUGGAUGGAAGGACUUUUCACUUAGGACUAACAGAGGAAAUGCUGACUGUCUCCCGGCUUCUUCUCAGAUAAUGAAUUCAUCUGCUGAUUUCAUGUAGUGAAUUCAUUCAGCAGCUAUUAAUUGAAGUGAAGCUCAUGUAAAGGUGACUGGGUGUGUCCUCUUUAUGAAAACCAGCUAUGUGAACAACCACUGUAUUGAAAGAGUGCAGGUGUUUAAUGCUUGCAAAAACAGGUUUGCUUUUAGACCAGGCUUAUUUUUUAAUGUUUGGUAGAAAGCAUAUACAGAAUGGUAAUAUGCCUUACUGAUGAAGAAAAGCAAGGUAACUUGAAUCAUCCUACUUUUUUUUUCUUUUGAGUCUCAUUACUUUAAGACAAAUAAAAUUUUAUUUAAAAUCUUAGUGCUUGGGUUUUUCUAUUUUAUGAAGUCAGAGAAUUUUGAGCAGUGUCAAGGAAUACCAUACUUAUAUUUCCUUAACAUUUUUUGUUCUUGAAGUAAACCCUACCAAAUUCAUUGGAUAGGUUGUUAAUUCAUGCAGAACACAAGAUUAGAAGCUAUACUUCUCCAGUAGAUGGGACUUUUCAAAACGUAAAACUGCUUUAUUCUUUUUGUCAUAUUUAAUGGGUGCUAAAAAUGAUGGGAAAUCUUAAGUGACAUAUAUUUUGAGUGUGAUAAAGAUGAGAUUAGAGCAUAGACAAGUUGAAAUGCAUGGCAUUAAUUUGGUUACUGUAUGAACGUUCUGGUCUCAUUAAUGCAAAACAGUUUUAUAACUAAUAUACAUGCAGAGCUUACAGGUUGACUGCCAAGUUUUAAAUUUACCCUUGGAAAAGGAAAUGUGCUAAGCAGAAAUUAAGCCAGUUAGGUUACUGACAGUUGAGCACCCAAGUGGUGGUGAUUUCCAAGCAGUCAUUCCCUGUUCUGGAGAGACAGGCAACAUUCAGCCUUUCAUGACUGAAUAAUUGUUUGACUGAUUUAUAUGCUCUGUUAUUAAGUAUCAGCCUUCCUUGUGCCAGAAAUUCCCAUCUCAACUCUUGGUUCCCCAUUACUGACUUGAAAAGAACUACACUCAGCCCUCACAUGAGAGGACACCAUCUGCAAAAUGUCCCUGUCAAAUCUGACUACAGGCACUCCCUUUAGGCAAUACGUUGUUUCUUUGUUGUUAUCGUUGAGUCUUUUUCAUUCUGACUCUGUGACCCCAUUGAAGGCUUUCUUGGCAGAGAUACUGGAGUGGUUUUCC